rnacentral:rRNA from 1 species
GACGAACGCUGGCGGCGUGCUUAACACAUGCAAGUCGAACGGAAAGGCCCUGCUUUUGUGGGGUGCUCGAGUGGCGAACGGGUGAGUAACACGUGAGUAACCUGCCCUUGACUUUGGGAUAACUUCAGGAAACUGGGGCUAAUACCGGAUAGGAGCUCCUGCUGCAUGGUGGGGGUUGGAAAGUUUCGGCGGUUGGGGAUGGACUCGCGGCUUAUCAGCUUGUUGGUGGGGUAGUGGCUUACCAAGGCUUUGACGGGUAGCCGGCCUGAGAGGGUGACCGGCCACAUGGGGAUUGAGAUACGGCACAGACUCCUACGGGAGGCAGCAGUGGGGAAUAUGGAACAAUGGGCGGAAGACUGAUGCAGCAACGCCGCGUGCGGGAUGACGGCCUUCGGGUUGUAAACCGCGUUCGCCGGUGACGAAGCGUGAGUGACGGGAAUGGGUAAAGAAGCACCGGCUAACGACGUG